CAACAAGGAGUCUUCAGCCGUUUAAAGCCUGAAGUAAAGCAGCACUGGAGGAACAUCCCCACCCUGGAGACAGCCUCCUGGGCCUGAAUGGGUUUGGACACCCAGGGACAUUUGCAGAGUCGGCCAGGCUGAGUCGUCUGUUUUCUGAGAAACCAACAUCAGAAUUUAAAAGCCGACUGUACUGGAGACGGCUGAGAGGAAAGCUGAUCUGAAGUCACCUGCUGCAUCCGGCACAGGCUCUGACAAGAAGCAGCUACACCAGGGAAGCUGAGCAGAGGUU